rnacentral:rRNA from 1 species
CGCGUAGGUGGCGCGGGUAGUCGUCGGUGAAAGUUCAGGGCUCAACCCUGAAUCGGCCGGUGAUACUCCCGUGCUCGAGUGUGGUAGAGGCCAAUGGAAUUCCGGGUGUAGCGGUGGAAUGCGUAGAGAUCCGGAAGAACACCGGUGGCGAAGGCGGUUGGCUGGGCCACAACUGACACUGAUGCGCGACAGCGUGGGGAGCAAACAGGAUUAGAUACCCUGGUAGUCCACGCCGUAAACGAUGGGCACUAGGUGCUUGGGGGAGCGACCCCCUGAGUGCCGGCGCUAACGCAUUAAGUGCCCCGCCUGGGGAGUACGGCCGCAAGGCUGAA